GAAGCUAGCCUUGUGGGGAACGAUUAUGCUUCAGAUAUGCUGUGUGUGCGGUGUUAAGGGAACAUCCAGCUAGCUGUUGGAAGGGUGGGAGAGCAGCUCUGGAGAGAGGCAAGGUAGGAGAAUUCAGUUUGGCAACCAAAGAUCUGAAGGCAAUCCUGAAAGCUAUGGAAACAGGUGAGUUUAAAGAAAGUAUAGGAGAGCAAAGAGCAAAGAACUCUGGGAAGUGAGAAAACGGGGAAAAACCCAGACAAGGAAGGAACAAUUGAGUGUGAACCUCGAAUAAGCUACUUCCAUUUUCUGGCUCUUUAGUCUCUUCCGUUGUAAAAUGAAGGGGCUGGAGCUGGUAAGCUCCGGGGCUUUCAGCUGAGACAUUCUAUGCAUAAUCACAGAAGGUAGAAGAGAACAGAAUGCCAUGGAAACUGAACAAGAGAGCUUCCAAAAGAAGGCUUUAAGAGGUCACUUGCAUCCGACGCUGCGGAUGUGUCAGGGACUGAGGACUUAGGGGAAGCCGCUGUGCUUGGCGAUUCGCAGAUCCUCUCCACGGGCUGCGGUCCCCAGCAAAGUUGUCACAGGUGCCCAGUGCAGACGCCCAAGACCCCCCAGAAAUGCCUGAAAGCUCCCCACCCUAAUUGUGCCUCCCUGGAUUGUUCCCUCGGCGAGGCCGGCUCUUGGAGCCGGGCAGCUUGACCUUUGCUAGGAACUCAAGAGCUGCCUGCCGUUUGGAAAUGGAAUGGAAACAGAGGCCGAAGCCCUGCUGGCGUCUCUCCCUCACCCACCCCCAUCAUGCGCAAGGAAAAGCUGCAAGAACAGUGACGGGUUAAGCUCCUUAUAAGGAAGUGAGCCUCCUCUCUCCUCCCGCACGGCAGUCGUUUGGGGCUUCUAUGUUUUAAGGUGCACUGCAGAAACGAGCCCCGCCAGGAUUCGCCCAAACCAUUCCCCCAGGGGUGGGGGCCCACCAGGAGCCAAGGCAGAAAGGACGGGCGGGGCGGGGAGCGGGAAGGCGACGGAGCGAAGAAUUUGAGGGAUGAGUCAUCAAAAAGAAGCUGGGCGAGAGAGCGGAACUCGUCAUCGGCCCCGGGCAGGAGCCGCGC
rnacentral:lncRNA from 1 species